ACACAUGCAAGUCGAGGGGCAGCAUGGUCUUAGCUUGCUAAGACUGAUGGCGACCGGCGCACGGGUGAGUAACACGUAUCCAACCUGCCGUCUACUCUUGGACAGCCUUCUGAAAGGAAGAUUAAUACAAGAUGGCAUCAUGAGUCCGCAUGUUCACAUGAUUAAAGGUAUUCCGGUAGACGAUGGGGAUGCGUUCCAUUAGAUAGUAGGCGGGGUAACGGCCCACCUAGUCUUCGAUGGAUAGGGGUUCUGAGAGGAAGGUCCCCCACAUUGGAACUGAGACACGGUCCAAACUCCUACGGGAGGCAGCAGUGAGGAAUAUUGGUCAAUGGGCGAGAGCCUGAACCAGCCAAGUAGCGUGAAGGAUGACUGCCCUAUGGGUUGUAAACUUCUUUUAUAAAGGAAUAAAGUCGGGUAUGGAUACCCGUUUGCAUGUACUUUAUGAAUAAGGAUCGGCUAACUCCGUGCCAGCAGCCGCGGUAAUACGGAGGAUCCGAGCGUUAUCCGGAUUUAUUGGGUUUAAAGGGAGCGUAGAUGGAUGUUUAAGUCAGUUGUGAAAGUUUGCGGCUCAACCGUAAAAUUGCAGUUGAUACUGGAUAUCUUGAGUGCAGUUGAGGCAGGCGGAAUUCGUGGUGUAGCGGUGAAAUGCUUAGAUAUCACGAAGAACUCCGAUUGCGAAGGCAGCCUGCUAAGCUG
rnacentral:rRNA from 1 species